GGAGAGGUGCCGGAGCGGUCGAACGGGGCGGUCUCGAAAACCGUUGUGGGUGAAAGCCCACCCAGGGUUCGAAUCCCUGUCUCUCCGCCA
rnacentral:tRNA from 1 species